rnacentral:rRNA from 1 species
GCGUCUAAUACUGGAUAUGUGACGUGACCGCAUGGUCUGCGUCUGGAAAGAAUUUCGGUUGGGGAUGGGCUCGCGGCCUAUCAGCUUGUUGGUGAGGUAAUGGCUCACCAAGGCGUCGACGGGUAGCCGGCCUGAGAGGGUGACCGGCCACACUGGGACUGAGACACGGCCCAGACUCCUACGGGAGGCAGCAGUGGGGAAUAUUGCACAAUGGGCGAAAGCCUGAUGCAGCAACGCCGCGUGAGGGAUGACGGCCUUCGGGUUGUAAACCUCUUUUAGCAGGGAAGAAGCGAAAGUGACGGUACCUGCAGAAAAAGCGCCGGCUAACUACGUGC